rnacentral:rRNA from 1 species
GGUUAAGCGACUAAGCGUACACGGUGGAUGCCCUGGCAGUCAGAGGCGAUGAAGGACGUGCUAAUCUGCGAUAAGCGCCGGUAAGGUGAUAUGAACCGUUAUAACCGGCGAUUUCCGAAUGGGGAAACCCAGUGUGACUCGUCACACUAUCAUUAACUGAAUCCAUAGGUUAAUGAGGCGAACCGGGGGAACUGAAACAUCUAAGUACCCCGAGGAAAAGAAAUCAACCGAGAUUCCCCCAGUAGCGGCGAGCGAACGGGGAGGAGCCCAGAGCCUGAAUCAGCAUGUGUGUUAGUGGAAGCGUCUGGAAAGGCGCGCGAUACAGGGUGACAGCCCCGUACACAAAAAGCGCAUGUGCUGUGAGCUCGAUGAGUAGGGCGGGACACGUGGUAUCCUGUCUGAAUAUGGGGGAAAUUCAUCCUCCAAGGCUAAAUACUCCUGACUGACCGAUAGUGAACCAGUACCGUGAGGGAAAGGCGAAAAGAACCCCGGCGAGGGGGAGUGAAAAAGAACCUGAAACCGUGUACGUACAAGCAGUGGGAGCACAGGUUUACCUGUGUGACUGCGUACCUUUUGUAUAAUGGGUCAGCGACUUAUAUUCUGUAGCAAGGUUAACCGAAUAGGGGAGCCGGAGGGAAACCGAGUCUUAACCGGGCGUUAAGUUGCAGGGUAUAGACCCGAAACCCGGUGAUCUAGCCAUGGGCAGGUUGAAGGUUGGGUAACACUAACUGGAGGACCGAACCGACUAAUGUUGAAAAAUUAGCGGAUGACCUGUGGCUGGGGGUGAAAGGCCAAUCAAACCGGGAGAUAGCUGGUUCUCCCCGAAAGCUAUUUAGGUAGCGCCUCGUGAAUUCAUCUCCGGGGGUAGAGCACUGUUUCGGCUAGGGGGCCAUCCCGGCUUACCAACCCGAUGCAAACUGCGAAUACCGGAGAAUGUUAUCACGGGAGACACACGGCGGGUGCUAACGUCCGUCGUGAAGAGGGAAACAACCCAGACCGCCAGCUAAGGUCCCAAAGUCAUGGUUAAGUGGGAAACGAUGUGGGAAGGCCCAGACAGCCAGGAUGUUGGCUUAGAAGCAGCCAUCAUUUAAAGAAAGCGUAAUAGCUCACUGGUCGAGUCGGCCUGCGCGGAAGAUGUAACGGGGCUAAACCAUGCACCGAAGCUGCGGCAGCGAACGUAUCACUUAAAGCGAUUCAGCGGGUUACGAUUGACGGAGCGAAGCGACGUCAAAGCGUAUACAAAGUCGAGUCGGUUUAAGGAUACGUUCGUUGGGUAGGGGAGCGUUCUGUAAGCCUGUGAAGGUGUGUCGUGAGGCAUGCUGGAGGUAUCAGAAGUGCGAAUGCUGACAUAAGUAACGAUAAAGCGGGUGAAAAGCCCGCUCGCCGGAAGACCAAGGGUUCCUGUCCAACGUUAAUCGGGGCAGGGUGAGUCGACCCCUAAGGCGAGGCCGAAAGGCGUAGUCGAUGGGAAACGGGUUAAUAUUCCCGUACUUGGUGUUACUGCGAAGGGGGGACGGAGAAGGCUAUGUUGGCCGGGCGACGGUUGUCCCGGUUUAAGCGUGUAGGUGUGUGUUCCAGGUAAAUCCGGUUCACUUUAACACUGAGGCGUGAUGACGAGGCACUACGGUGCUGAAGCAACAAAUGCCCUGCUUCCAGGAAAAGCCUCUAAGCAUCAGGUAACAUCAAAUCGUACCCCAAACCGACACAGGUGGUCAGGUAGAGAAUACCAAGGCGCUUGAGAGAACUCGGGUGAAGGAACUAGGCAAAAUGGUGCCGUAACUUCGGGAGAAGGCACGCUGACAUGUAGGUGAAGUGAUUUACUCAUGGAGCUGAAGUCAGUCGAAGAUACCAGCUGGCUGCAACUGUUUAUUAAAAACACAGCACUGUGCAAACACGAAAGUGGACGUAUACGGUGUGACGCCUGCCCGGUGCCGGAAGGUUAAUUGAUGGGGUCAGCGCAAGCGAAGCUCCUGAUCGAAGCCCCGGUAAACGGCGGCCGUAACUAUAACGGUCCUAAGGUAGCGAAAUUCCUUGUCGGGUAAGUUCCGACCUGCACGAAUGGCGUAAUGAUGGCCAGGCUGUCUCCACCCGAGACUCAGUGAAAUUGAACUCGCUGUGAAGAUGCAGUGUACCCGCGGCAAGACGGAAAGACCCCGUGAACCUUUACUAUAGCUUGACACUGAACAUUGAGCCUUGAUGUGUAGGAUAGGUGGGAGGCUUUGAAGCGUGGACGCCAGUCUGCGUGGAGCCGACCUUGAAAUACCACCCUUUAAUGUUUGAUGUUCUAACGUGGACCCGUAAUCCGGGUUGCGGACAGUGUCUGGUGGGUAGUUUGACUGGGGCGGUCUCCUCCUAAAGAGUAACGGAGGAGCACGAAGGUUGGCUAAUCCUGGUCGGACAUCAGGAGGUUAGUGCAAUGGCAUAAGCCAGCUUGACUGCGAGCGUGACGGCGCGAGCAGGUGCGAAAGCAGGUCAUAGUGAUCCGGUGGUUCUGAAUGGAAGGGCCAUCGCUCAACGGAUAAAAAGGUACUCCGGGGAUAACAGGCUGAUACCGCCCAAGAGUUCAUAUCGACGGCGGUGUUUGGCACCUCGAUGUCGGCUCAUCACAUCCUGGGGCUGAAGUAGGUCCCCAAGGGUAUGGCUGUUCGCCAUUUAAAGUGGUACGCGAGCUGGGUUUAGAACGUCGUGAGACAGUUCGCAUUCCUAUCUGCCGUGGGCGCUGGAGAACUGAGGGGGCUGCUCCUAGUACGAGAGGACCGGAGUGGACGCAUCACUGGUGUUCGGGUUGUCAUGCCAAUGGCACUGCCCGGUAGCUAAAUGCGGAAGAGAUAAGUGCUGAAAGCAUCUAAGCACGAAACUUGCCCCGAGAUGAGUUCUCCCUGAGACUUAGAGUCUCCUGAAGGAACGUUGAAGACGACGACGUUGAUAGGCCGGGUGUGUAAGCGCAGCGAUGCGUUGAGCUAACCGGUACUAAUGAACCGUGAGGCUUAACCUU